AAUGGCCUAACGGCUGAACCAGCAAUUUGGAAGAACGUAUAGUAAUAUCUAGUUACAUUGGUAUUGUAUCAACGUAAUAUCGACAAUGUCGAAUAAAGUUCUAGAUAAAUUUAUGAUAAUGACAUUAUUUAUCUAUGUGUCUUGACCAAACUACGUGCCAGCAGUCGCGGUAAGACGUUAAAGACUAGCGUUAUUCAUAUUUAUUGGGUUUAAAGGGUACCUAGAUGGUAAAUAAAGCCUUUAUAGGUACUAAUUUACUAGAGUUACUUACGAGGGAGCAUUAAAGUACUGAUGGUGUAGAGAUAAAAUUCUGUAAUACCUUUUUUCUUAGGAAAAGUAACGGCACAGAUAUAGGCGAAAGCAUCUCCUUAUGUGAUAACUGACGUUGAGGGACGAAGGCUUUGUAUAGCAAAAAGGAUUAGAUACCCUUGUAGUCAAAGCAGAAAAUGAUGAGUGUCAUAGAUUAGAUAUUGAUUUAUUCUAUAAAUGAAAGUGUAAGCACUCCACCUCAAGAGUAAUUUGGCAACAUUGGAACUGAAAUCAUUAGACCGUUUCUGAAACCAGCAGUGAAGUAUGUUGUUUAAUUUGAUAAUCCGCAAAAAACCUUACCACAACUUGAAUAUUUUACAAGCGUUGCACGGCUGUCUUCAGUUAAUGUCGCGAGACUAUGGUUGGCUCCAUUAAAUUAACGUAAACCCUUGCUUUAUUUUUAAAUAAAGUAGUUCUCCACUAUAUUGGAUAAGAUAACAGGGACUAAGACAAGUCAUCAUGGCCUAAAUGUUGUGGGCUAUAGACGUGCCACGUAAGCUUUUACAAAAGGAUGUGAAAUCGCGAGAUUGAGCUAAUCCUACAAAACUGGCUAUACACUUUCAAU
rnacentral:rRNA from 1 species